ACAAUCUACAGCUUCUUACCACAUCAUCGAAUGAGUGAAUGACAUGUGGGAUACAAAGCUCGAAAUGAAAUAGUCUCUCCACCAUUCAUCACUGACUACAUCUGUUCAAGUGUUCAUGAUCUCAACCGGAAAAGAGAGUUGCGGCCUGCAGUGGUGGCGGUCAGGCGGGUUUCUUAACUGCUUUUGUGUUUCCAUUGGGUCAUUGGUCUUUGAGCUCAAAUUUAGUGAAGGUCUCAACCUUUUUUAGUCUUCGCUCCGAUCCGAGUGUUCCAUACAGCUCCGCAGUCGUCAAAGUGAGGUCUUUGAUCAGCUUGUAUCCAUGCACGACCCUGAUGAUGGCUUUCCGUUAAUGUGUUUCGCUCUACUCGGCUGAAGAAACUUGUGAUUCACAUAGUUUCUAGCUCUGAGAGUUCAGAGCCGUCUCAGCCUCAUUAAUUAUGCUUUAUGUGGGACGCUGCCGUUGUUGAAGGUGAAAAGAUUCCUUGAAGAUGUUAUAUACCUCACAAGCAAGCUUAUACCCUUCACACGUUUUUGUCCUGGUGUGGGACGAACUGCUCAAGCUAAGAACAGACAUUUCCAAUGGUCAAGGUCGUUAGCUUGACAAGUCUGCAAAUUUGAUUUCAUCUCUGACUUGCUCAAGAACACUGACAGCAAUGCUGAGGUUAAAUGUCUGGAUGGGGAUGCCCUACCAAUCCCAGUAGCAAAGGCUCUCACAGCUGCUGCUGCUGUUUCUUCUUCUUCUUUUUGAAUUAAUACAGACUGAGACACAAUUGGCUUCGAGCACCAAGAGUCAAAGAAACUGUCUGCUUAAAUCUUUAGCCGAGACUAAUGUGUUUUAUUGUCCGUUUAGGCAACUUGUACUCUCAGCCUCCGUUUUGGUACGUUUUCUAUUUCUGUUGUACUCAAAGAAGUCGUCUGCUUAUAUCUGAAGCUUAAUGCAUAUAUGAGAAGAACCUUCAGCUUCAGUAAAUGUGUAGAUC